UCCUACCAUUGCUACUUCAUGAUUAAUUUCGAAUCCUCUUUUACCCUUUCAGUGCUGUAGUUAAUACCAUGUAUAUAUACUUAGUUAUUAAGGGGUGAUUUCUGUCUCCUGGUUGGAUCCUGACUGACAUAUUUUUCUAAUUCUCAUUGGGACCAGCAGAGAACAGCAUUAACAAAUUGUUUCCUGGAGUGUGGAAUAAAGGCCCCUCAACAGAGGCUAAAGCAAUGUGGGAUAGGACGUACACACGCCAGAGAGAGAGAAUCCCAAACAGCCACAGCACUGCAAGUGCAGAGCCAGGUGCCAGGCUCAAGUGGACAAACUGCAGGAUCAUGACCUGAGCUGAAAUCAAGAGUCAGAUGCUUAACCAACUGA